rnacentral:rRNA from 1 species
GUCUUUGGCCAUACCACCCUAAAUGUGUUCAAUCUUGUCUGGUCUCAGAAGCUAAGCAGGGUCUGGCCUGAUUAGUACUUGGAUGGGAGACAAAUCUUCAAAAGAGACUUUUCAGAGACAAACAGU